GUGGGGAAUCUUCCACAAUGGACGAAAGUCUGACGGAGCGACGCCGCGUGAGUGAAGAAGGCCUUCGGGUCGUAAAGCUCUGUCAUCAGGGACGAAUGGCCGGUGGAGUGGAAAGCCACCGGAUUGACGGUACCUGAGAAGGAAGCCACGGCUAACUACGUGCCAGCAGCCGCGGUAAUACGUAGGUGGCAAGCGUUGUCCGGAAUUAUUGGGCGUAAAGCGCGCGCAGGUGGGAUCUUAAGUCCAUUUUGAAAGUUCGGAGCUCAACUCCGUGAUGGGAUGGAAACUGGGAUUCUUGAGUACCGGAGAGGAAAGCGGAAUUCCCCGUGUAGCGGUGAAAUGCGUAGAUAUGGGGAGGAACACCAGUGGCGAAGGCGGCUUUCUGGACGGUGUCUGACACUGAGGCGCGAAAGCCAGGGGAGCGAACGGGAUUAGAAACCCCAGUAGUCC
rnacentral:rRNA from 1 species